UUGAAGACCCUUGAGCUUCAGCACUAAGCCUAGGAAGGGCAAAACAUCGGGUCAUCCUUUCUCGUCGAAUCAGGUGAUGCCCGAUUUAGAGAGAGGACUUUUCCUUCGAUGCAGGGCCAGGCAUUCAAGCACAGAGAUGGAGCUCCCACCUUCUCUCUUAUUAGGGAGUGGCUAAGCUUUGACGGCGAGAUAAAGUUGGCACCAUGCCGAACAUCAUUGGAGAUGCCACCCAAGACUGAAAUGCUAAACCUCAAUAGAGCCAGAUCCCUUAGCUCCGGCCAACCUCAAUCAAGGCGUUAAAGAAGAGUGUUUGGGGUGCAUUUAAAAAAAAAAAACAGAAUUUGAUCUCUUCUUCGCUAAAGUUUCCAGCCUUGUUCUUCUGAUUUUUAAAGCUUCUGAUGAUGUCUGCAAUGUCAGUGAUGAUUUUGAUUGGAUUGGCAGUGGACUUAGCGCCCCUAAGGAUCCCAUAGAGUGCGUUACUGAUUUCCUCGAUGGGUUUAAAUCAACCAAUGAGUUAAGCUUCUUGGAAGAUUUUGGAGAUUUUUUGGGAAAAUCCGAAGAGGAGAUAGAAACUACUCCAUCGAGAGAUUUUAAAUUCGGUAUAACUAAAAAGAAACCAAGGAGUAAACGGAGAUUAAAGCAGCGUGCGUGGCCGACGAAAGAUUGUGUGUUUUCUGCACUAGAAAAUCAUGAAUUCCUAAAGAGAGUUUGCACCCACUGUCAAAUUGACAAAACGCCGCAAUGGAGGAUCGGUCCACUGGGUCCGAAAACACUGUGUAACGCUUGUGGUGUGAGGUACAAUACAGGGAGGUUAUUCCCGGAGUAUCGGCCGGCUGCAAGCCCCUCUUUUGACCAGAAGAAGCAUUCAAAUCUUCAUAAGCUGAUACUGAGAAGGAGGGCCAAUUUAAUUUAAUUUAAUUUAAUUUAAUUUAAUUUAAUGAUGUGUUAUUUUAGACAUUUUUAGGUCGUAGUAAUUUUCUUAGGAUUCAUCAUGCACAGCUUUUUGUUUCUAAUUUGUUUUCUUAUAAUUAAUAUUUUAGAUAUUAGGGUUGCUUUUUCUCCACAUGUCCAUAAAUUGAGAAUCUUACCCUUGAG